AGGAGAGUAAAGGUAGGAGAUGCGAAGCAACAGCCAGAGUCACCAAGAGAGGGGCAGGAGUGGGGGGCGAACGUUGUUCGCUCGCUGAUUGUCGGUGUUGCAUAUUGUUUGAACAUUAAGCAUCAGAUGCAGCUGCUGCAACUCAAAUUAAUGUGAAUAAUACAAUUAUGUUAUUAAGUAAUCGUUAAUCGCUUUGGGACCGUAAAUCUGAAGAAGUGGAUCAACCCCUCGAUGCAAUUGCCAUUGUACAAAAGGUUUGAUGAUGGUGUUGUUUACGAUUUGGAAGAGUCGUCAUUGAACGUUGAAAAGUAUGAGAUUGUAUGAACAUCCACGUUUGCAGACGCUUUCCCUGCGCGUAGAGUGUUCCUUUGGAUAUAUUUAUAAUGGAUAGACUUGAAAACUACAGAUCCACGAGAGCGCCUUUGAUGGGAGGGAAGGAUCAAGCCAAGUGCAGUCUUGCCGGGGAUGUCGUGGAUGCGGGCGAAAGGAAUCAGCUGGGCCCAGGCAUAACCCAGCAGAUAGAGCAUUAUUUGUCCUGACGACUGCAGCGGAGAGGGCGAGGUCAUGGCUGAGAAAGACGGGUAUCAGGCAGGUGUGCCGAGGCAAGAAGAUCAUCAAAGAGGCCACAUUAUAAACAAACAAGUCGCUGUACUUCAGGUAAUAUUAUUUUACUUUUAAUAGACUGCCACCGUAUGUGAUACUCAAAAUGAUAUCGUACGAAAGUGUUGCCUCUAAAUUUUUAAAUAAACGCAUUACAAUCAAAUUACCCACUUAAGUUGUGAUCACGGGGUAAAACACUAAAAAUAUAAGUUUAUUAAAAAUAAUUAAAAAAAUAUUGCUCGAUGUUAAAUCAUAAAAAAAAAUCAAGCGAACCUCUGAGCGUUGAAAACCAACAACAUAAUUAGAGUUC